rnacentral:rRNA from 1 species
GACGAACGCUGGCGGCGCGCCUAACACAUGCAGGUCGAACGAGCGAGAGAGAGCUUGCUUUCUCGAGCGAGUGGCGAACGGGUGAGUAACGCGUGAGGAACCUGCCUCAAAGAGGGGGACAACAGUUGGAAACGACUGCUAAUACCGCAUAAGCCCACGGUGCCGCAUGGCACAGAGGGAAAAGGAGCAAUCCGCUUUGAGAUGGCCUCGCGUCCGAUUAGCUAGUUGGUGAGGUAAUGGCCCACCAAGGCGACGAUCGGUAGCCGGACUGAGAGGUUGAACGGCCACAUUGGGACUGAGACACGGCCCAGACUCCUACGGGAGGCAGCAGUGGGGAAUAUUGCACAAUGGGGGAAACCCUGAUGCAGCGACGCCGCGUGGAGGAAGAAGGUCUUCGGAUUGUAAACUCCUGUUGUUGGGGAAGAUAAUGACGGUACCCAACAAGGAAGUGGCGGCUAACUACGUA